AACGCUAGCUACAGGCUUAACACAUGCAAGUCGAGGGGUAGCAGGGUAGCAAUACCGCUGACGACCGGCGCACGGGUGAGUAACACGUAUCCAACCUUCCCAUAACUCGGGGAUAGCCUUUCGAAAGAAAGAUUAAUACCCGAUAGUACUUUUUCAAGGCAUCUUGAAAAAGUUAAAGAUUUAUUGGUUAUGGAUGGGGAUGCGUUCCAUUAGAUAGUUGGUGAGGUAACGGCUCACCAAGUCUUCGAUGGAUAGGGGUUCUGAGAGGAAGGUCCCCCACAUUGGUACUGAGACACGGACCAAACUCCUACGGGAGGCAGCAGUGAGGAAUAUUGGUCAAUGGGCGAGAGCCUGAACCAGCCAAGUAGCGUGAAGGAUGAAGGUCCUAUGGAUUGUAAACUUCUUUUAUAGUAGAAUAAAGUGAUCCACGUGUGGAUUUUUGUAUGUAUACUAUGAAUAAGGAUCGGCUAACUCCGUGCCAGCAGCCGCGGUAAUACGGAGGAUCCGAGCGUUAUCUGGAUUUAUUGGGUUUAAAGGGUGCGUAGGCGGAAUAAUAAGUCAGUUGUGAAAGUUUGCGGCUCAACCGUAAAAUUGCAGUUGAUACUGUUAUUCUUGAGUGUACAUAAGGUAGGCGGAAUUCGUGGUGUAGCGGUGAAAUGCUUAGAUAUCACGAAGAACUCCGAUUG
rnacentral:rRNA from 1 species